AUAAGCUGAAGGCAGACUGUGCAAAGCCUUGUAGGUACAAUAAGAACUUUGAACUUCACCUACUAGCAAUAGGUGGCCAGGGAAAGGUUUAACACUGAGUAGUCACAUGGCCAAAUUUGUAUUUUAAAACAUCAUUCUGGCUGCUGAGAAGAUAAUAGACAAGGCAGUGGCAAUUGCUGUGGCCCAGCUGAGAGUAGGACUUUCACCUUAGCUUAGCUUGGACUAAGCCUUCCCUUCCAGUGUUCCAUUUGUUGAGAUAUGGAUUGCUGGAAGAGAGGGCUUUUGGGGGUGAAAUCCAGUUUUGAAUGACUAAGGUGUCAGAUGCCUGCAUGAAAUCAGUCAAAUAGAUAGCUGGGGUAUAUAGGUCAGGCUCAAAACGGAGGUCUGAAUUGUGGGGACAGAGUUAGAAAGCAAUACCUAGAGAGGGCUGCCUGAUCCAGGGAGG
rnacentral:lncRNA from 1 species